UUCAGAGAGAGGCAGACAGACAGAGGAGGAGACAGAGGAGGAGGAGAGUCAAAGUAUUGAUCUGAGCUUUGAAAACAGCGUCUGUGUAAUUAGUGGUUAAAUUUAAAGGAGGAAAAUGGAGGGAUGGGAGGAAAAACUACAUAAAAUGUGGGGUCGUAUGUUAAAGUUGAGGCAAGGGCACCUGAUGUGCUAUGAAAGGCUGAUUUCAUUUAUAUCUGUUGACAGAGCAUCUGAAAUAUAGAAAAUGGUAAAUUGAUAGAGGGAAGGGGUUGGUGACUGGCAGACCAGUGAUACUUUUGACUCAUUGCUUAGUCAUUGAAAUAAAUGAAAAAACUACUCUUAACUAUCCUCUAAGCACCACUGCUUAGCAAGUCCAUAGCAGCUUGCUUUUUAUGCCCCAGUCUGUGAUGAAAUGUCUUCUUGCCUGACUAAGAUUUUAGAGGGUGAGGACAUAAUAAAAUUCCCCCUCACCUUUGUUCAGAUUGUGUCUUAAAACAAGUAGAGUCUUAACAGCUGAUAGAGUAUAAUAACUUUUGCACUUGUUCUCGGGUCAUGUUCACAGACAGGGUCAGUACACAUGAAUGCCUUCUUGUUGAGAUUCACAGCCUUGGAUAAAUCUUUUCUUGGCUUGUGCACAAAGGUCUUUCAAUUCUGUGCUAUAAAGGUUAAAAACUACAAUGGGCUCUCUAGAAGCAGAGACAUGAGCAGAUUUACUGGUUAAUGCACUGGUGGGCGCUGCAGGUCAGUUACUUGCUAGACUGGCUGUGAAUGUGUGUC